GUGAGGAAUAUUGCGCAAUGGACGAAAGUCUGACGCAGCCAUGCCGCGUGCAGGAUGACGGCCCUAUGGGUUGUAAACUGCUUUUGUAUAGGAAGAAACUCGAAUACGUGUAUUUGAUUGACGGUACUAUAUGAAUAAGCAUCGGCUAACUCCGUGCCAGCAGCCGCGGUAAUACGGAGGAUGCAAGCGUUAUCCGGAUUUAUUGGGUUUAAAGGGUGCGUAGGCGGAAUAUUAAGUCAGUGGUGAAAUCCUGCAGCUUAACUGUAGCACUGCCAUUGAUACUGAGAUUCUUGAGUACGGUUGAGGUAGGCGGAAUGUGUAAUGUAGCGGUGAAAUGCUUAGAUAUUACACAGAACACCGAUUGCGUAGGCAGCUUACUGGUCCAUUAUUGACGCUGAGGCACGAAAGCGUGGGGAUCGAACAGGAUUAGAAACCCUAGUAGUCC
rnacentral:rRNA from 1 species